UACAGAGGUGGCAAGCGUCGUUCGGAAUUACUGGGCGUAAAGGGCGAGUAGGUGGCCAUCUAAGUCAGACGUGAAAUCCCCCGGCUUAACCUGGGAACUGCGUCUGAUACUGGACGGCUUGAGUAUGGGAGAGGAACGUAGAAUUCCAGGUGUAGCGGUGAAAUGCGUAGAUAUCUGGAGGAAUACCGGUGGCGAAGGCGGCGUUCUGGACCAUUACUGACACUGAAUCGCGAAAGCUAGGGGAGCAAACGGG
rnacentral:rRNA from 1 species